rnacentral:ncRNA from 1 species
CCUCGAAAAGGCAAACUGCGCGAAAGUGCAGGACGCGAAGGAACGGGUCCUCAUCUAGUGGGAAAAGCGCUCGGCGCGAGCGCCCCUUCUACCUAAG